rnacentral:rRNA from 1 species
AGGACGAACGCUGGCGGCGUGCUUAACACAUGCAAGUGGAGCGACGAACCAGGGCUUGCCCUGGGGCAGAGCCGCGAACGGGUGAGUAACACGUGGGUAACCUACCCCGAUGAUUGGGACAACCCGAGGAAACUCGGGCUAAUACCAAAUGUGCCCGCAGUCUUUGAGGACUGCGUGUAAAGAUAGCUUCGGCCUUCGCAUCGGGACGGGCCCGCGGCCCAUUAGCUUGUUGGUGGGGUAACGGCCUACCAAGGCGACGAUGGGUAGCUGGUCUGAGAGGACGAUCAGCCACACUGGGACUGAGACACGGCCCAGACUCCUACGGGAGGCAGCAGUGGGGAAUCUUGCGCAAUGCGCGAAAGCGUGACGCAGCAACGCCGCGUGGAGGAAGACGGCCCUCGGGUUGUAAACUCCUUUCAGUUGGGACGAAGCUCAGCUGGUUAAUAGCCAGAUGGAGUGACGGUACCUUCAGAAGAAGCCCCCGGCUAACUACGUGCCAGCAGCCG